GAUGCACGGAGAUGGUGGAGUGCUGUGCUGGAGGAAGGAGGGCACAAGAGAUAUAACAGGCACGCAGGAGAAAAGCUGCAAAUUUUUCAAGCCUCCCUCCUCCGUCCUGAAGGCUAUCUCAGAUAAGGCGGCGAAAAAAAUGCACGCAAGACGACAUGUUCUCAGAGAUCAUGCAGUCGACCUGCGAUGAAAGAGCUCAUCUGAAUGAGUGGAAGGACACGGUAUCAAAGUACAGGAAGCUGCCAAUGAACGUGAGGACAGGAGGGAUGCUCGAGAUGAGAGGUGGCGGCAGGAAGAUCAGAGGAGGCAGGAUGCAACGCUGCGGCUGCUGCAUGAUCAAACGGACAUGCUCCGGCGUCUGGUGGAGCUUCAGGAACUGCAGCAGGGUCACAGAGUGCCGCUGCAGCCCCUGUAUAACCACCCUUCCCCCUCCCCAAGUUCCAUAGCCUCCUCACCCAGACGCCCAAGAAUGGGGGAGGAGGCUCCGUGCACCCUGCCACUCCACUCCAGUGGACAGCCCAAGCAAAAGGCUGUCAUUAUUUUGAACUUUUGAAGUGGCCUUUUCCUUCCCUCCUCCACUCCUCCCAAACUCCACCCAGGCUACCUUGUCAGUUCUCUCCCUAUGUUUAUAAUUAAUUAAUAAAGAAUACAUGAUUUUUAAAUGAUA